UACGUAGGGGGCAAGCGUUGCUCGGAAUCACUGGGCAUAAAGCGCACGUAGGCGGCUUUUUAAGUCAGGGGUGAAAUCCUGGAGCUCAACUCCAGAACUGCCUUUGAUACUGAGAAGCUUGAGUCCGGGAGAGGUGAGUGGAACUGCGAGUGUAGAGGUGAAAUUCGUAGAUAUUCGCAAGAACACCAGUGGCGAAGGCGGCUCACUGGCCCGGUACUGACGCUGAGGUGCGAAAGCGUGGGGAGCAAACAGG
rnacentral:rRNA from 1 species